CCCGCCAGGUCCCAGCAGCAACUACAAGGGCCUGAGUUGAGUCCCUCUGGGGGCCCUUUUCUAUGAGUUUCCAGGGAAACCGGGCUGAAACCUCUGCAGUGCCCUUGGCAGAGGGCUCUUCUGCCCUUGCCAGCAGUCAGCAGCUCCUGGGAACAAGGAACCACAAAAGCAGCAGACAGAAAAGACACAUGACAGCCUUAAACCUAUCUGCAGGCACGGAGAUGUACGACUGGCAUGUCAGGACGGCGAUCAGCAGCUCCGUUCAAAGUAUUAGUUAUUGAGUCUGGUGAGGCCCAGGAGGCUUAGUCAUGCCACGGCUUAGUCAGAUCUGCAUCGCUUCGGCCUAUCCCAGGCCCACAGGGAUUAGGAUCACUAUGUGGGGCAGUUUUGAGCAACCCGCGGCCAUCAGGCAGCCUGCAGAACCGUCUGUCUCGAUCACAGUCUCCGUCCCGAACCUGUACAUCCAGCCCAGCACCGCUGUGCCAAGGAGCACUCGGUGAGUGCUCGGGGACACAGGUCUGGUCCCGUUUUUGCACAUAGCCACAGAGCGUCAACAGCUAAGGAUGGAAAAAUGUCAACUAAAAUGAGAAAACACAGUGUACGGCAUGGUAGGCUACGACAGUACCGAAGUGUUCUGGCUGAUUACUUGCUACUAUGCUUGCAGAAUUACAGUAAGGUAACAUGGGGUGAGUGGUUGGAGCCUUUAUCAGGAAGAGCCGCAUUGCUCUCUGGCCUGACUUUCUUCACUGAAGGCAAGACAAGAGUAUUGGAGUCCAUAAUCCUUUUUGCCAGAGUUAAAUGGGCGACAGACAGUGGAGUAGUGACUACACAGGAAUGAGCAGAAAACAGCCACAGGGAGAACAGAAGACCUCAUAAAAGGCGAGUCACAGGCUAUUAGUAAAAUCUUGGAGCGUACAGAACAUUUCUCAACAGCCACUGAAGAACAGAUCCAGUCUGAACUUUUCUUCAUGCUGGCUAGCUUGCACGCAUAGCAUAUCACACCUGGGCUGAACUCGACUUUCAAGACUGUAAUUAAUCAGUGAAAACAGGCAACGACUGUGGAUGUAUAAUUUCUCUGGGGAACUGUGAAGAAAGGAGGUCAUGAUGCUCUGGUUGUUCUACCCACUCUCAGCAGUUCUGAUACAUCUGUACCACAAUGGUCUAGGCCAAAAGCCUUUUCUCCUCCCACAAGACAGGCACUACAUUUGCAUUUCAGUAUAAAAUUUGGAGCAUUUAUUCAUCACAAGGAAAAUAAAUGCCUGUUUACAUCUGAGGAACGAUGAGUU
rnacentral:lncRNA from 1 species